rnacentral:rRNA from 1 species
AGAUUGAACGCUGGCGGCAUGCUUUACACAUGCAAGUCGAACGGUAACAGGCCGCAAGGUGCUGACGAGUGGCGAACGGGUGAGUAAUGCAUCGGAACGUGCCCAGUCGUGGGGGAUAACGCAGCGAAAGCUGUGCUAAUACCGCAUACGAUCUAUGGAUGAAAGCGGGGGACCGAAAGGCCUCGCGCGAUUGGAGCGGCCGAUGUCAGAUUAGCUAGUUGGUGGGUAAAGGCCCACAAGGCGACGAUCUGUAGCUGGUCUGAGAGGACGACAGCCACACUGGAACUGAGACACGGUCCAGACUCCGUACGGGAGGCAGCAGGUGGGGAAUUUUGGAACUAAGUGGGCGACGAAGCCUGAAUCCGAGCAAUGACCGCGUGACGAGGAAGAA